GCACCGGUGGUGUAAGGCGAAUAUCACUGCUCGGAAAGCAGAAGAUGCGGGUUCGAGUCCCGCCUGGCGCG
rfam:Heligmosomoides polygyrus genome assembly, scaffold: HPBE_scaffold0001692